rnacentral:rRNA from 1 species
CCUACGGGGGGCUGCAGUGGGGAAUAUUGCACAAUGGGCGCAAGCCUGAUGCAGCCAUGCCGCGUGUGUGAAGAAGGCCUUCGGGUUGUAAAGCACUUUCAGCGGGGAGGAAGGCGUUAAGGUUAAUAACCUUGGCGAUUGACGUUACCCGCAGAAGAAGCACCGGCUAACUCCGUGCCAGCAGCCGCGGUAAUACGGAGGGUGCAAGCGUUAAUCGGAAUUACUGGGCGUAAAGCGCACGCAGGCGGUCUGUCAAGUCGGAUGUGAAAUCCCCGGGCUCAACCUGGGAACUGCAUUCGAAACUGGCAGGCUAGAGUCUUGUAGAGGGGGGUAGAAUUCCAGGUGUAGCGGUGAAAUGCGUAGAGAUCUGGAGGAAUACCGGUGGCGAAGGCGGCCCCCGGACAAAGACUGACGCUCAGGUGCGAAAGCGUGGGGAGCAAACAGGAUUAGAUACCCGAGUAGUC